AUCCGCCUCAGAACAGGGAAUAUAWCCCGGGAA
rnacentral:rRNA from 1 species